rnacentral:rRNA from 1 species
AACGCGAAGAACCUUACCAAGGCUUGACAUCCCUCUGAUGGGUAUAGAGAUAUACCGUCUCUUCGGAGCAGAGGUGACAGGUGGUGCAUGGUUGUCGUCAGCUCGUGUCGUGAGAUGUUGGGUUAAGUCCCGCAACGAGCGCAACCCCUAUUGUUAGUAGCCAUCAGGUAAAGCUGGGCACACUAGCGAGACUGCCGUGGAUAACACGGAGGAAGGUGGGGACGACGUCAAAUCAUCAUGCCCCUUAUGUCUUGGGCUACACACGUGCUACAAUGGCAGGUACAAAGAGAAGCGAAGGCGUGAGUUGGAGCAAAUCUCAAAAAAGCUGUCACAGUUCGGAUUGUACUCUGCAACUCGACUACAUGAAGCUGGAAUCGCUAGUAAUCGCGAAUCAGAAUGUCGCGGUGAAUACGUUCCCGGGUCUUGUACACACCG